rnacentral:rRNA from 1 species
ACGCUCGACACCUACGGGAGGCAGCAGUGAGGGAUAUUGGUCAAUGGGGGGAACCCUGAACCAGCAACGCCGCGUGAGGGAUGACGGUCUUCGGAUUGUAAACCUCUGUCCUCUGUGAAGAUAAUGACGGUAGCAGAGGAGGAAGCUCCGGCUAACUACGUGCCAGUAGCCGCGGUAAUCUGAGCGGGCUGGCAAGGC